AUUGAACGCUGGCGGCAGGCCUAACACAUGCAAGUCGAACGCGUGGCGGACGGGUGAGUAAUGUCUGUGGAACUGCCCGGUGGAGGGGGAUAACUACUGGAAACGGUAGCUAAUACCGCAUACCCUAUGAUUUGCCCCGAUGGGAUUAGCUUGUAGGUGGGGUAACGGCUCACCUAGGCGACGAUCCCUAGCUGGUCUGAGAGGGUGACCAGCCACACUGGAACUGAGACACGGUCCAGACUCCUACGGGAGGCAGCAGUGGGGAAUAUUGCACAAUGGGCGCAAGCCUGAUGCAGCCAUGCCGCGUGUAUGAAGAAGGCCUUCGGGUUGUAAAGUACUUUCAGCGGGGAGGCGUUACCCGCAGAAGAAGCACCGGCUAACUCCGUGCCAGCAGCCGCGGUAAUAC
rnacentral:rRNA from 1 species